ACUACGGGAGGCAGCAGUGGGGAAUAUUGCGCAAUGGGCGAAAGCCUGACGCAGCGACGCCGCGUGAGGGAUGAAGGUCUUCGGAUCGUCAAACUCUGUCAGCAGGGAAGAACGGUCACUGUGCUAAUCAGCAGUGAAUUGACGGUACCUGCAAAGGAAGCACCGGCUAACUCCGUGCCAGCAGCCGCGGUAAUACGGAGGGUGCGAGCGUUAAUAGGAAUUACUGGGCGUAAAGAGCUCGUAGGCGGUAUGUCAAGUCAAGGGUGAAAUCCCCGCGCUCAACGUGGGAACUGCCUUUGAAACUGGCAAACUGGAGUGUGUGAGAGGAUAGUGGAAUUCCAGGUGUAGGAGUGAAAUCCGUAGAUACCUGGAGGAACAUCAGUGGCGAAGGCGACUAUCUGGCACAUAACUGACGCUGAGGAGCGAAAGCGUGGGUAGCAAACAGGAUUAGAUACCCUUGUAGUC
rnacentral:rRNA from 1 species